AUUCGGUCCGAGAGAAGCAUACUGUAUAGAAAGUUAGUCACAGGUCGAUCGGGAAAGUGCUAGAGCAUCUGCUGUUGUGGAGAGCAUUUAAAACAUAAAAAACCGGAUCGGUUGAAGAAGAGCUCGGUCGGUUGGUGUGGUUAGGUCCAGUGUGUACCGCAGACAAGCAUUGGAAGUUACGACACCUGGAAAGUGGAAGACGCGCGGAGCGCAGUCGGGUUGUAAAAACUCGUGAAACUUGAGAGCCCCCGUCCACCGUACGGACUGAACGCGAAGGGGAAUUGUUCAAGAGUGUACCUUACCGGUCGUUGGUGUUGUUGUUGUUGUUGUUGUUGUGGUGGUGUACUGUUUGGGGCUUUUUUGUUUGUUUGGUUUGGUUUUUCGGUUGGUUGCGGGUCAGCAGUCAGCAUAACAAGUGCCCAUUCUAGAUGAGCGGAGAAGCACACGGUUUGGUUGUAGAAGCUCGGUUACUCGACGCAAAGUGUUCUUGUAUCGCAUUCUGAUGUACAAUUGGUUUUUGUGAGGGAAUUUUUCGACCAACGAAAAAAAAGCGCAGUGCUUGAUACAAGAAAUGUGCCACUUUCGAGCAGAGAGGAUUUUCCCGUUAUUGAAAGAUCGAUUGGCAGGAUCCUAGGCCCGUGCGAAACGAAAUCCGUUGAAAUUCUCGACAUACUGGUGCUGAUUCAGUAACGAAGAUAGUGCAAACACGUUGGAGGGGAUUGACACACACACAAAAAAACCAAGUGACAUUCGAACAUGACUGCGGCAGCAGCAGCAGCAGUGUAGGCCCAUUUCGGGUGAUAAAUACGGUGCGCUUUGCAUACAGAUUAGUGCAGUGCUCUAAAGCUCGCAUGCCAAAUUGAAAACAUCGAACAUAAACAGGACAACAGUGGCAAUAGUGCAAGUUGACGCAAACACACGGCGAAACGAAAAAAAAUACGAGAAAUAAGCGCAGAAUGCUGCAAACAACAAUAUUCAUCAAAGUGCUGGCGGUGGCGCUGAGUGCGCUGGCAGUUGAACCGGUGUCCGCGGCCACCGCUACCAGCGCGGUCUACGUGGAAAAAUCCGCGUACAAAAAUGUCGUCAUCGAGAUAAGGGAUAACGUACCGGUGGAAAAUUGCCAAACCAUUCUGCACAAUGUGGAGAUUAUGCUUACCUCAGCUUCGCAGUACCUUUUCUCGGCCCUCGAUGGCCGGGUCUACUUCGGAGACAUUACGGUAAUUCUGCCGCCGCACUGGCCUAACUCGUGCAUCCCUUACAACCAAACUCGUACCUCGGCCAGCGGAGAGCGCAGCGACGUGACAAUUAAAACCCACUCCAAGACCGAGUCCCCCAUCUGGACCAAACAGUACGCCGGCUGUGGAGAGCCCGGUGAGCAGAUUUUCAUCGAAUCGGACAUUCUCGGUAGGGAUACAAUUGGGCGGGAGUUUGUUCGGGAAUGGGCCAAGUAUCGGUAUGGAGUGUUCGAUGAAAUCGGAUUCACCAAAGAUCCUGUCUAUCCACGGUGCUACAUCAACGAUGACCAUGAGCUUAAGCUGACCGGGUGUUCGGACGCCCCGGUUCACGAUCGGGGCCUUUGCGGCAAUCCUUCUUCGUACAACAUCAGUGAAAUCAUCGAUCGGAACGCUCGCUCCAGUAUAAUGUUCGCCGUCGAAUCUCCCAGUGUGACGAUGUUCUGCGACGAAGGCACCCACAACCGGUACGCUCCAACCAAGCACAACCAACUGUGCGAUCGCCGCAGCACUUUGGACGUCAUCCUCAAAAACGCGGACUUCAUCAUGGAGAACAAGAUCAACGUCAACCCGUCAAUAAUCGUAAACACAGCCCCAAAAUUUAACUACAAAACCCGGAAAUCCACCCGCUACGUCAUCAUCAUCGACGAAACCCUGGACAUGCAACUACGCGAAUCGUGGAGCUUCCUUCGUUCGGCCGUUCGAAAAUGGGUUGUCUACGACCUCCCGGCCAACACAGAAGUCGGCAUGGUCCUCGCCAACGACACCGCCACCGAAAAGAUGCUCCAAAUCUCGCCCCUCUACAUCCAAGAAAACAAAGACCUCGUUGCAUCCUUCAUCCCGUACUCGCCCAGCGAUUCCCGCCAACCGGCUUGUCUAACCUGUGCCGUCUCCGACGCCAUCCACAUGCUCAACGAACGCACCCGCAUGAACGGUCCGGCCAACUCGAUCAUCCUCGUAAUUGCCCCCGGUAUGGAAUACUCUAUCGAUCACAGCUCCCUGGCAAACUCUGCCUCCACCUCCCAUAUCCGCAUCAGCUCCAUAAACUAUCCGAACGUCAUCCGUCGGCAGCCUCUGGACUCUCUAGCCCUCGCCACCGGAGGAACCGCCCACUCCGUCUUCGAAAGCAAAUACAACCUGGAGAAGAGCUAUGUCACCACGUACUUCGAACUGUCCAACACUCUGUUCAACAUCGGCAAACAGUACUACGAAGGCAACCGGAACGAUCUGCCGAUCGAAAUUUACCGCAAAGAGCUCGUCGAACUGGACGACAACGACGCCAGCCACAUGCUGUCGAAGCGGACCAGCCGUACGGUCGCCGGGAGCUUCACCCUGGACUCGUUCAUGGGACCUCCGGCGUACUUUUUCGUGUACGUUCACAACACGGAGAACCCGCUGAUUGCGGGCAUGAAGCUGACAAGCCCGAGCGGUAUCGUUUACUCGUCUAGAAGUGACGCUAGAUCAUUGGUUAAGCAGUUGAUGGUGUCCGCUACGCUCAACGAAACUGGAAGCUGGACGUACAAGAUCGAUCGGUUCAAUGGAAAUCCUCAGUCGCACUACGUGCAGGUCAUUGCCACGCCUCGGUCCAAGUACGCUCCGACCAUUCAGGCUCGAUCGUGGAUUCGGCAGCGAAGCGGAAGUCCUCCUGUUAUCUACGCCGAGGUGAAGAAGGGCGAUCUGCCGAUUAUAGCCGCGAAGGUUGAAGUCACGGUGACGCGGCCCGAUGGAAUCUGCCCGGCAGGAAGUGGCAACGAAUGUCGGCAGAAGAUCAAGCUUUUAGAUUCUGGAUCAGGUGAUCCGGACAUCACGCGAAACGAUGGUAUUUAUUCGAGGUAUUUCAACGCUGAUGACUUUGGGGGAGCCGGAGCUUAUCAGUUCGAGGUCACCAUCACGGAUAACGAAAAUAUGGCAUACACGCGGUCGGAGAGUGUGCUGAAGGGUGCUCCGCCGAGAUGCUGCGGAAGUUCGAUCCGGACGACGUUGAUGGCGUCGAUGGUUGCGUUCCAAAGAACUCUUCAACCGAUAACCGUGUUUCUGUCGCAGGAAUUCCUUGACUCGGUUGGUCAUCGUCCGAUGGGUAAGAUCAGUGACCUGACGGUAGACGUCGAAGGAAUGAGGGUUCGAUUGAACUGGACUACUCCGGACAUGGGAGGUCGAGGAAUUGCUCGGUACGAAAUCAAAUACGCUACGUCGAUUCGCGAUAUCGUUGACUACUAUGACACGGCAGCUUUUCUGUGGCAUCAUGAUACGCCGCUGAUCAACCCGAUCGGAGAGGAGAGCUCUUUUACGAUGAACCUAUCCCAUGAAUCUCACCUGAUUGGGCAGGUUCUAUACUUUUCCGUCCGGGCGCAUGCGUUAGGAAUCAUGGGUGGAUCCGUUUCGAACUACGUUCGAGUUUUUGUACCGAAACCGAAGCGCGCAACAUCCCUGUCUCCAUCUACCUCCAUCGGAACGGAAAGCUACGAAAAUGUGUGGUCGUCCUACGACGAGAUCCGAGAUGGCCACAAUCGACGUGUGAAUAUCCAUCAAAGAAUCGCCGACACCAUCAGUUUGGAAGUCGAAGUUCUACUGGCGAUCAUCGCUGGCACUGUAUUCUUGAUCAUCAUAAUCCUCAUUUGCUGCUAUUACUACUUCCUAAGAAAACGUAACGUCACACAGGAAGACGACCAAAAACGACCCAUCAAACCCUUUCCCACCGAAACAAAGACCUCCCUCGGACACAGCGUAUUUGUCACCCCUGGGAACGUGACUUCCUCCUCGUCGAAUGCUACCAGUUCAACCUCCGCCUCACCGGAUUACGCCCAGCAAACCAACGUCUCCACCAAUAUUCCCACGAUCUACAACUCUAGAACGCUCCCCAUCGAACAGAAGCUCAUCAACGAACUUAAGCAGCAACAGCAGAUGGCCGAUACUCAAUCCUACAUCCUUACUCAGGCGACCGACAACAUGCAGUACAAUACCACGCUAACCCGAAGCUUUAACCCGGGACCAACGAUCAACGACAACCGAACGCUGAGCCCCUUUGAGUCAUGGUCCGCUUCGCAACUGCUGCAGGAACACGAACAACACCAACGGCGACGAAGUCCGAGCCUGCUUGACAACUACCUGGAUAACGAUGUCCAGCAGUUCUACGUAAGCCAACACGAUCAAAUGUCCCUGCUGAACGGCGGCGGCGUUGGCGUCGUCGGUCACAACCCGCACAACGUUGGCCACAAUCCACCGGUGCCUCCGCCACCCAUCUACUCGACCGCAAACCCUCCGUAUUUCUACGAACAGCACCCACAGCAGCUUCAGCAUCAACAGCCACCACCGCAGCAGCAGCAACAGCAGCAGCAGCAACAGCAGCAGCAGUACGUCCACGAUGGUAUGAACCCUAUGACGACACCCCUACACGUUACCAUAACGUAAUAGACGGGCAGGCACCGUAGCAAAUGUGUACCUAAGAUGUUAAGCCAGAGAGAUGCUUCGCCGAAGUCUACUGCAAAAAGUGCGAUUGGUCGAUUAUUCGGGAGGCUGCCUGUGGAGCAUGCGUGGUGGCUGUGAAUAGGAGCGAUGUUUUAAAGUAGACGAAUUCAAUAAAAAGAGUUUUGAUUGCCAGAAAGACUGAUUUCAUGCUAAGGGCAUUUUUACGGAUAAGUUAUGAGAGUUUGCACCGUGCCGGAAUUGAUCUCCAACGCGAGCGAUUGUGGAACGUUGAACCGGAUAGUUUGAGUUUUCCAUCGCCCCGUAAUAGAAUUUUAAUUAAAUGUGUUCGCAGAAGUCGCGAGAUGCGCCCAGCUCAGAACUAAGGAAUUUGAUUGACGUUGCUAGUCCCUUGAUUCAAAGUGUUAAACUGCAAGUUGCUUUGGGUCGUUCGAUUUUUGUACAUCCACUAUAGCCGG